rnacentral:rRNA from 1 species
AUUGAACGCUGGCGGAAUGCUUUACACAUGCAAGUCGAACGGUAGAGGGGGCAACCCCUUGAGAGUGGCGAACGGGUGAGUAAUAUAUCGGAACGUGCCCAGUCGUGGGGGAUAACGUAGCGAAAGUUACGCUAAUACCGCAUACGAUCUAAGGAUGAAAGCGGGGGACUCGCAAGAGCCUCGCGCGAUUGGAGCGGCCGAUAUCAGAUUAGGUAGUUGGUGGGGUAAAGGCUCACCAAGCCAACGAUCUGUAGCUGGUCUGAGAGGACGACCAGCCACACUGGAACUGAGACACGGUCCAGACUCCUACGGGAGGCAGCAGUGGGGAAUUUUGGACAAUGGACGCAAGUCUGAUCCAGCCAUUCCGCGUGCAGGAUGAAGGCCCUCGGGUUGUAAACUGCUUUUGUACGGAACGAAAAGGUUUCUCUUAAUACGAGGGGCUCAUGACGGUACCGUAAGAAUAAGCACCGGCUAACUACGUG